ACAGCGUGGAGCAUGUGGUUUAAUUCGAAGCAACGCGAAGAACCUUUACCAGGUCUUGACAUCCCGAUGCUAUUCUAGAGAUAGAAAGUUACUUCGGUACAUCGGUGACAGGUGUGCAUGGUUGUCGUCAGCUCGUGUCGUGAGAUGUUGGGUUAAGUCCCGCAACGAGCGCAACCCCUAUUGUUAGUUGCCAUCAUUCAGUUGGGCACUCUAGCGAGACUGCCGGUAAUAAACCGGAGGAAGGUGGGAUGACGUCAAAUCAUCAUGCCCCUUAUGACCUGGGCUACACACGUGCUACAAUGGUUGGUACAACGAGUUGCGAGUCGGUGACGGCGAGCUAAUCUCUUAAAGCCAAUCUCAGUUCGGAUUGUAGGCUGCAACUCGCCUACAUGAAGUCGGAAUCGCUAGUAAUCGCGGAUCAGCACGCCGCGGUGAAUACGUUCCCGGGCCUU
rnacentral:rRNA from 1 species